UACGUAGGGUGCGAGCGUUUAAUCGGAAUUACUGGGCGUAAAGCGUGCGCAGGCGGUGCUGUAAGACCGAUGUGAAAUCCCCCGGGCUUAACCUGGGGAACUGCAUUGGUGACUGCAGCGCUGGAGUAUGGCAGAGGGGGGGUGGAAUUCCACGUGUAGCAGUGAAAUGCGCAGAUAUCAGGAGGAACACCGGUGGCGAAGGCGGGGUCUCCUGGGGCCGAAGUGACUGACGCUGGAGGAGCGAAAGCGUGGGGAGCGAACAGGA
rnacentral:rRNA from 1 species